rnacentral:rRNA from 1 species
UGACCUCAAAUCAGGUAGGACUACCCGCUGAACUUAAGCAUAUCAAUAAGCGGAGGAAAAGAAACUAACAAGGAUUCCCCUAGUAACUGCGAGUGAAGCGGGAAAAGCUCAAAUUUUGAAUCUGGCGGUCUUCAUGGCCGUCCGAGUUGUAAUCUAGAGAAGC